AGCGGCCACACCCGCUGGCAACAUCCAGCUCCACUCCGAACCUGGAAAUUAAGCAGUCGCGGGCCACAUCAGUACUGGCUGGGCGACUUCCCGGGAACGUGCGGUGCUUGCUUCUUUUUCCUUUUUGCGCGGUGCAGGGCUAUUGCCCUGCACCAAUACUACACUCUACACCUAUGUUUGUCCCUGCUAAAACUCUUAUUUUGAGAUAUUUUAUAAUUUUAUAUUUUUAUUAAAAAAUGAAAAUUUUCAUAAGCGAGACUCCUCCUGGAGGAAAUUGAGAGUGGUAAUGGUUAGUGUGAAUAGUGUGUGACGAACAAUCCUUUC
rnacentral:rRNA from 1 species